GGGCGCUCUCGAGCGAGGGGGCGACGGGCGUGGGUGGCCGGUGGUGGGGCGAGGGGGCCGAAAUGUACACUUUGAGGCCUCGUGGGUCACCUGUGGGAGGAAGUAUAAACCCGCCCCUGCCCCGCUCAAUUUCAGGUCCCCGAACCCGCAAACCCACGGGGGAAAACAGACCCGCCCCCAACCCCAUCGGGUUUAAAACCCGUGGGUUUCGG
rnacentral:lncRNA from 1 species